GCCAAGGGCUCCGACCUCGGGACUGGGCCAGCCCAGCAGGACCCGUGGUGCCGCCGUGCCGGGGACUGAGAGACAUCUGUUAGCCACGGCGCGGUUUGCUCCCGUGCCUGAUCACCCGCAGCACACGCACGCGCCUGCGAGAGCCGCUGAGGCCUGCGGGGCCCGACCCGGAUCCACGCGGGAGCAGCGUGUGGAUCUCUGGUCCUGAGCCCGCCUGGCAGAGGGAGCUCCAGGCGCUGCCGCGGUGUGUGGUCAACGGGGGCCACGUGGGGAGCAGGGAGCCUCCUGCCACCCAUGGCGCACCGGCUGGUGGGUCUGCAGAGAUGAGCGAGGCACGAAAGCACCAGGAACGCGCCCGAGCACCCAGGACUCCUCUCCGGCUGCGCACGCCGUCCACGCUCCCCUCCUGCCGCGCCCCCCACCGGCCGAGGGCAGAGUCAGCCUCGCGCCUGCAGCAGGACGCGGUCCGUCAGAGGCGCCUGCUGUGGGGGGAGAAGGAGCCCACGGGCCGCGGCGCCCGUGAACGUCCGACGGAGACUCAGGACGCUCUGGGAAUCCCGAGCAACAUCGGGACACAGGUCAUGCGGGUGGUCCAGAUCCCAGGAGGCUGCCGGCCGCACAACCCGGCAGCCCAGGGAGGGUCACAGGGACCUGUGUGGUGACAGGCGUCUGCAGAGACAGUGUGAUCUCGCCCCAGACGUUCUCACGGCCGACUCUCACCCCUCACCCUCCAUGGGCAGCGCCUCCCGGGCCCAAAACCGCCCGUCCUGCCGGGCAUCCCCGGGGCAGAAGGGACACGUCGGCCUGAGCACUCAGAGCCAGGCGAGGCCUCCAGCAACAGGGGCCGCUGGGACCACUGAGACGCCAAGACGGUGCUUGGGGGGUUUGUAGCCUCCUCACCCCCCUCCCCCCGCCGGGCUGGGAACCCUGCUCGGCCGGCGACGUGCCCGGUGCUGGCGACAGCUCUCGCCUGGCCGUCGCCACUGUGUGUGCGGAGCUGCUUCAUGGCUGCGGCUGCCCCUGCUCUGCUGGGCCUGGGGGACAAGGACCGUCACCCCAGAAGGCUGCCUGCCCCUCCCUGGCUGUGCUGGGCGUCUGCACUUGCCCUGAGCAGGGACAGGCACCGCGGCCGCGCCAAGCGUCUCUCCAGCCUCCUCUCUUGGCCGAGCCGCGGCUCUGGCUGGCACGGCCGGACCGGCUUCCCCGCGGAGGCACAGCCCUGGACUCCCACCCACGCAAGCCUGUGGUGGCCUCGGCGGCCAGCCCUCCCCUGCUGGCCCCGGCAAAGGAGCACGGUGACCCGGGACACGGCGCCCCUGUCAGCACCAGAGGCCACAGGGAGACACGGACCCAGGCGGGAGCAGAAACACGGCCUGGCGGGAGGUUGAGGCCGUCAGAGCUCUCGCAAAGCGUGGCCUCCGCGUUCCGGCGUGAGGAUGCGCCGUCGCGGCAGCUUAUGCUGUUCUCUGUCAGCACAGACGCCCGAGACCCCCUGCGAGGUGGGAAGGCUUUGCUUCUGUUGCACGGAGGGGAAACUGAGGCUGCGAGAGGGGCGGUGCCCGCCCUGGUCCCACAGCUACGUCAGUGAGUCCCGAACCCCCCCGCGGGCUUGACGACCGGCGUCCGUGGGUGGGGAGGGCCAGGUCCCUGUGGUCCCCAUGGGGCCAGACACCCCUUCCCCUCCCAGGACGCUGCGGGCCGGCGAGUGUUCCGUCACCUGUGCGCUGGGCAGGGCAGUUCAGGGGCUCAGGCACCGUCUGCGGGGCUUCCCCGCGUGCCCAGCCACGUCUGCAGCGGGAGCCCGCGGGGUCCCCACCCCACUCCUGCCAACAGAAGGCUCCGUGCGCACUUUCUUCUCCAGCCCCGUCCCUUUAAAGGGCUGUGAAGACCAAGCCCAGCCCCACGGCCAGGAAUGCAGCCCCUCCCCAGACGGACCCCCCACAGCUGUGCUCGCCUGGCGGGGAGCUGUGCUGAGUGUGCUGCUGGCCGCAGGACGUGCUAAGUAACCACCGCCAAGAACGAUAAACAAAAUUCCAUUUCUCCUCUAAAUUCUCUGGGCCACAUUCAGGGUUAACAUUUCAAAACAUCUGGAGGAACACGGCGGUUUUUCUUCCAAGAAUCCCGGUGGAGUUUUGUGGGUUACCGCAGAGCAUGGGCCGCAUUCUUCUGUCAGCGCAUCCGGCCCUGGGCCUUGCGCAACUGGAGCGGACGUGGUCCGGGCCGCAGGGUGUUCUCGAGAGACUCGCUGGGCGUCCUCCCAGGACAUCGGCAGACCUGGACGUGGAAGGCGUUUUGUCCAGAGAGGCCAGCGCUACGGCGUAGCGGCUUCGAGCCAGGGCUCCGCGGCGGCCUGAGCGUGAUCCUGCGCUUGGCCCCGGGAGCUGGACGUCUGGCAGACGCAGACGUGACCGAACCUUCUCACUUAGUCAUAGUUACCAGUUGUUCCUGGUCUCCUUGGAGCAGGGGUGACUGCGACGUGCCAGGCAGCUCCCACAGGCAGCGGUGUGUCCACCAGAGGAGACGCCACGCGUGGCAGGGAAAUCCGACCUGGGGGAGGGAAGAGGGUGAAGGGAGGGUGGGCUGGAGACAGAAUGACCUGGAGCGACCAGAGCCCUCCAGGCAGCCCCAGAGGCCUGGCAGUUCUGCACUACGUACGGGACGGCACAGCCGCGCCACCGAGCCACGACCCGCACGCAGUGGUGCCCGUCCGUCAGCCCGGGCCGAAGGCUUCUCUGGCCAGGGCUCCUCACACCUCCCAGCGCAACCACGGUACCUGCGCUCCGACCAUGUGCUCCACUCAGGGCCUGGUGUCCUCCUCCAGGGAGGCCCACGGGGGCUGCGGUGGUCCCCACAGGUGAGCGGAGCCACAUUUUGUCAGACACAUUUGAAAGCCGGAAACAGCAGUAGUGACACGAGAUCGAGGUCUGAGUAGACAGACAGAGAAGGUCAGAUCUCUCGAGUCGCGGGACAGAUUGGCAAGGUGGGGUCUCCAGCAACCCUCGGCCUCUGGGCUGACAGGCCCCAGGCAGCCCCGCCCGCGGCAGAGAACACGAACACGGACCGUCCGGGGAGGGAAAGUGGAACGUUUGCUUCAUGAACCGAAAUACCCUCAGUAACUUGCCCUUGCCAGUGUAAAGGUCCCCGCCUGAGUGUGCUGUUUGCUGUUUCUGCUGGGACUCUGGGAAGGUGCCCGUCAGCCCGCACGGGCUUCCCGGCAAAGACGCACAGGGUCCACAAACAAGGAAUUCACACACUCUGAAGCCUACCUAGGGGCGGCUGGCCUGGAGCCCCGGGGAACAGCGGUGGUGCCUAGAGCAGCGUCGGGCACACGCGGGCGGAUGAACGCUCUGUCCUGUUCAGGAGCCUCGUCGUUCCUGUGGACAUCCGAUUCCCUAAGUGAACAGAUUCGCGCUCAUUAACUCCACCUUUAAACUGAGGACCUCAAAGAUUUCUGCCAGCAAUUAUGUUCGUCCUCUCGGUGACAGAGGCGCAGAGGCGCGAGGCCAGGCAUAGCGCCCGCCUUUCGGGAGGGGGACUUUUCGGGGCUCUUGGGGUGGGGUCUGCAGGCAGAUCUCCAGAGAGCCGUGUCCAGGCCCGUCCCGGGGGGUGCCCGGCCCUGUCCCCGCCAGGGGUGUGCUAUGCUCGGCUUUGUUUGUUUGUGGGUUUUGCCUGUGACUUUGCGAAACGGCCCAGGAGACAUAAAGUCUUGGUCUCUGAGAACAAGCACAAUGUCGCUUUCAGCUUAAAUAUCUACUGGGAAACCUCAAGGUUUUGAAUGUCAUCAUUACAGAAAUCAGAAAUGACAAGAGGAAAUAAUUUAAUCCCACUGCCCGGCCCCCGAGGGGACUGGGUUUGACCUCAGUUUAUCUUUUCUUUGGUGGGUUUUAAAUCUUGAGAAAAAGCGCCUGAGAAUGAAGAAUCCGAAAAGGGCGUGGUGGGCGCGGGAGGGAGGGGUCGGAAAAGAGGUUUAAAUCUCGUAUCUGGAAAACUGUCAAAUUGCACCUGCUCGCGUUGAACCGCAUAUUAUUUCUUUUCUUUUGCCCCACCCGGAACAAAGACACUGGUCGCCGACUGGGAGCAACUCCUCCUCCAGGUCACACUGGUCUAACCGGUGUGCGCCCCGGGGACAACAGCGCUCCGCGACCUGCAGCCCGGCAGCCCGGAUGUCCCCGGCCAGAACCGGCUCGGGCUCCCGCAGACGCCGCGCCCC